rnacentral:tRNA from 1 species
AAAGGGAGACCUAAUUCGGGUAGGAGACGAAAAAAAAGUAGUCCCUACCAAGAAUCAAUCCCAAAAGGUCGGAGCGAGGCGAAAUUGGCUUUCAAACUAGGUUCUGGGUUCACACAAGACCUGAAUCAGGAACAAGGGCUAUUAGCUCAGGUGGUUAGAGCGCACCCCUGAUAAGGGUGAGGUCCCUGGUUCGAGUCCAGGAUGGCCCACCUGCACAGGUGGAAGAAAGAAAAGAAGCUCCGAAUCAGCACCUUAUCUUACUUAUAUAGUAAGAGAGAAUGCUGGCUCUGAGUUCAGAGUCCAGAGGAACCUUGAAAACUGCAUAGAGCUAGGUGAAAAAGCCAAAAAAGAAGACCGUCAG